rnacentral:piRNA from 1 species
UGACGCCUAGAUAUUUGACCUUCGAGA